GCACGAGGAGGGCAGGUGAAAAGGCCGGCGCUUUGUUGUGCGCUGGAUGCUCUGGCUUCCACCCCUCCCUGCCUGUGCAACAGGUAGCGAUGUCAGAAGCCGGGAAAAGCUGCGCGCCGAGUCCCGGCCGCGGCGACGCUUUUGUUCUCCUCGCCUGGAUGCGCUUCCAAAAGUGAAAGGAAAGAGGCUUCACCCAAAACUUGCUUCCCGUCCCCCCCCUCCCUUUCUCCCUCCUCCCAGCGCGCCGCUUGAGUAGCCCUUCCACUUCCCCGGCUCCCAUCCCGGGUUCUUGAAAGCCCCGGUUUUCGUCCUUGGGAACGGUGAGAGGACUCCCGCGCCCACCCGGCCGAAUUGCGAGAGGAGGUCGUUCUCCGCGCCUGUCAAGGGGGAUCCAAACAAAGAGGUGCAUUUGCCGGAAACAACGAUCGGAGGGAUUCUCCUCGCCUCCUCCGCCUCCAUUAAGAUUGUUUUUCUGGGAGGCUCACUUAGAGGGAAGUUUUGAACUGGAAGCCAGGGAUGAGGCGUCCCUUUCUCUCUCUCGGUGUAUAUUUCUGUUAUCUUAUCUCGGGAUCCAGACCUUUCGAAGGAGAAGGGGCGGCUGAAGUUGAUAAGAAAAGUGAAUGUCAGUGAAACAGAACAUCUACCAAGAUGCUAUAUUUAAAUCCCUUAUCAAGUUCAGCAAGUUGGAUGCUUCAUUUUAUUAACCUUCAAAUGGUGAAAUGGAAUACAGAACAAAGAAAAGAAGGCAUCAGUGCGUGGAUUUAUAAAUUUGGAUUUCUGGACAUGAAUGCUGGUGAAAAUUACAGUUUUUGGCUUGGAUUAUGGAAUAUCGUCCCAGCACUUUUAAGACAAAUGAUAAACAAUAUAUGAACAAUUGACAACAAUCAAGAUGUUUAAACCAUGCUACCAGCAAUUUAUGUCUGGAGUUGGAGAAAGAUAUUACAGAAGGAAAAAAAUCUGAUAUGAACAGGCGAUAAAACAUUAGCCAGCUCAACCAUUGCUGAAAAUUGUGGAACACAAUUUCUGGAGAGAACCUUCUUGAGGAAGGCUGAAAUCUUUACUUGGGGGAUGUCUAGGGCCAGAGAGUCCUUCAAACAAAGAAAUGCAAUCAAUGAAAACACUCCAGAGGAGGAGAGCCUGUGCAGGGAAGGGGAUCAGUCUAGACUUCCAAACAAUUUCCCUUUCCUGACCAAGGCAGAUCACAUUUCCUUCCUAAGGAACAUGGCUGUGAAGUCACCGUUUUGUUUUUGACCCUGGUCUUCCUGCAAAUGUUUGAGUCAAACUCUGAUUGUAAAGAAUGAUUCAAGGCACAUAAACAUUUCAAAGCAAGAGAAGUCGUCUUUCUGUAAUGGCUUCAGCAUGCAGUGGUAACAAGGGACAGAAAAAGGCUAAGUGAGCAUCUUAUUUGUCAAAGGUUCUGGCCAUGUUUUGGAUAUGGAUAUGAGAAAACAAAAGUGAAUAAAGCAAAAUGGUUGAACAGGACUUUUAAUGGAAACAUGAAAAGAAUCACCUGUUGCCUCUGUCACAUUAAAAGCAAGUGAACAAAGGAGAGUCUUUUGGUCAACCAAAGACAUGUUAAAAGAUUUUCUCCCCUUGUCUAGCUGUCCCUAGUGAUCUAUGAAAUACCUUAACAAGAGCAGAGAAGAAAAAUAGUGAGCUUAUUUACCUCAGGUACUUUUGUAUUACAAACUCAGCCACACAUCCUGCAUACCCAGGUGUCAGGAAGCCCCAUUCAGAUUAUGAAACCAAGAACUCAUCUUCAAUCUGGCUCUGGCUACUACAAAGGUAGCCUCCCCUUGUUUUCCUUCUUCCUUGGCAUCUGAAAAAAGUCUUACUGUUUACAGUAUUCUCCACAGCUUGGUACUGCUGUUCACCUCUGUAACUUUGCUGUAGAAUUUUGCCACAAGUAUAGAAUGUUCGGGGGUGUGAUGGCUCAGGUAUUAAAGAUGCUGAGAUUGUCAGCUGUCAGCCCGGGUUCAAGAUUCAGUGUCACAUAACAGGGUGAGUUCCCGUUCCUUGUCCCAGCUCCUGCCCACCUAGAAGUUUGUAAGCAUGUAGAUUAACAUGUACCACUUUGGUGGGAAGGUAACAGCAUUCCAUGCCCCUUUGGUGUAUAGCUAUGCUGACCACAUGACCAUGGAAAAUGUCUUCAGACAAUAUUGGCUUCCUCGGCUAAGAAAUGGAGAUGAGCAUCACCCCAUAGAGUCAGACAUGACUGGACAGGGAAACCUUUACCUUUACCUUAUAGAACGUUCUCCACCCUGCAAAGCUGCCAGAUGGCAGUUCUACUGCAGAAGCCCUGUAGUGAAACCAUGGGCAGCUUCACUGUGGACUGCUUUGCUAUAGGAAUGCUGCAGAAGUGGUUGGCAGCUCACUAAUGAAGUUGCCCACAGCUUCACAUCACCACCAUGGGUUGCUGGGAAGAGCUGCAGCCAGCAGCCCCACAGUGAAGCCGAAGAAAGUAGCUAGCUUUACCAUGGGACUCUCAGUGCAAAGAAACUUUCACCCCAUUUUUUGUGCUAUGGUGGAGAAAAGGGGAGGGAAAAAAAACUAGGCCUUCUCUUGUCCAGAGAAAUUUUACUUUGGUUUAUAUGUAUACAUUUAAUUCAUUAAUUAUUUUUAGCCUUAUACACUAUCCCGUUAUCAUUUAUGAAAUGGGCAGCUAUAUAAAUUGCUUAAAAUAAAUAAAUAAAUUGACAGCAGAAGACAUGUUUUUUCCAAUUAUUUUCCAUACUAAUUAAGGCAUUGGGAGAGAAGGGGGAAAGUUGACCCUUGGGAUUUCUGGUGUCAUACCACCUCUUCUCCCCAUGCCUUUGGUAUGGACAUUGCAAGAACCCCUACAGUACCCAAAAGCUGACAUAGUUCUUUGUGGACCCCCAUACUGAAUAAACAGAAUUUUAUUGAUAUCUUGCAACAGAAUCUCCAGUCUAACGCUUAUGCUGAUUUUUUAAAAAACAAAACAAAACUGAAAAUGGAUAAAGUUAUUUCAGUCUAGAAAGAGUAUCUGAGGAAAGCCUUUGACACUUUACUCUAGAAAACGGUGAAAAACCACUGGUAUUAAACCAGAGGUGCUUACAAGACUCUGCUAAGGCUCUAAAGCUCUUGCCGUGAAACCUUAGUUUUCUUUUUAUUUCAAACUUUUAUUGAAGGUACAAAAGCAAACCAUUAUAUUUCAGAUAGAUCAUCUGAAACUGUUGACUUGGAAUGUUGUCCUGAAAUAUGGCUUUAUGGAAUGAAUUAUGGUCUUUGUUAAACUGGGGUUAGAAUAAAGAAUGUAUCGCUGUUGCAAUAUUUGAAACAUUUUGUGUUUAGUUGCCAAGUAUCAAGCUUCCAUUUAGUUGUUUUUCUCUUCCUACUUUGUACCCUCAUCAUGUAAGUCCGUUGCCUAUGAAACAGUUUUGGAAAUUAAAUGAAUAAGAAAUAAUUUUUAAUGAAUUUUCCAAACUUCAGAUAAUUUAAUGAAUAUUUUCACUGAAAGCUAUGCAGUAGUCACGUACAGCACCCCAGAUCCUUAUCUAUUUUGUAAUUGUUUGCGUCAGUGGAGUUUGAGGUAAAAUGGGUCAAGGAAGUGAUCUUUCCAGGGCAAAAUAGAGUGGACAGUGAUGGCUGAAAUUAUGUGGUAAGACUGAAUUUGAGCCACAGUAUAUUAUAAUAUUAAAAAAUGGGCCUUGUAUUAAUUUUGUUAUAUUAUGAAGUGAUACCAGAAAGAGUCAUGUUACAUUAUCAAAUGGAAAACAAUUACCUAAUGAAAGAAUUCACAAUAAAUUAAUUUUUUUAUUUGUAUAAGUUUAUAAAAUAUAAGCAGAAUACCAAAUAAUAAACAUAUUGCCAAAGCUCUUAAAGACCUUAACAAAAUUUAACAAAUUACAACAUGAGUUAGAGUUAUGGUGAAAACUGUAGAUAAAGAUUUAGGUUAUAGUCAAGAUUUAUAAAAUAUACCAUAUAAUACUAUAUAAUUAGGAACAAAAGAUAGAAAAAGAAUUUUUUACAUAAUAAUACAACAUUUCCAAGAGUGGAACUUAAUAUUUAUUUAUUUAUUUAUCUAUCUAUUUAUCUAUUUAUUUAUGAGACUUAUAUACCGCUUUAAGUGCAAGCACUCUCUAAGUGAUGUACAC